GUGCCAGCAGCCGCGGUAAUACGGAAGGUCCGGGCGUUAUCCGGAUUUAUUGGGUUUAAAGGGAGCGUAGGCCGUCGUUUAAGCGUGUUGUGAAAUGUAGGCGCCCAACGUCUGCACUGCAGCGCGAACUGGAUGACUUGAGUACGCGGGAAGCAGGCGGAAUUCGUCGUGUAGCGGUGAAAUGCUUAGAUAUGACGAAGAACUCCGAUUGCGAAGGCAGCCUGCUGUAGCGCCACUGACGCUGAUGCUCGAAAGCGUGGGUAUCGAACAGGAUUAGAUACCCUGGUAGUCCACGCGGUAAACGAUGGAUGCUCGCUGUGUGCCUUUGAGGUACGUGGCCAAGGGAAACCAUUAAGCAUCCCACCUGGGGAGUACGCCGGCAACGGUGAAACUCAAAGGAAUUGACGGGGGCCCGCACAAGCGGAGGAACAUGUGGUUUAAUUCGAUGAUACGCGAGGAACCUUACCCGGGCUUGAACUGCCAGCGAACGAUUCAGAGAUGAUGAGGCCCUUCGGGGCGCUGGUGGAGGUGCUGCAUGGUUGUCGUCAGCUCGUGCCGUGAGGUGUCGGCUUAAGUGCCAUAACGAGCGCAACCCCUUUCGUUAGUUGCCAUCAGGUGAAGCUGGGCACUCUGGCGAUACUGCCACCGUAAGGUGUGAGGAAGGUGGGGAUGACGUCAAAUCAGCACGGCCCUUACGUCCGGGGCUACACACGUGUUACAAUGGCGCAUACAGAGAGCCGGUCUCAUGCAAAUGAGACCCAAUCAAUAAAGUGCGUCGUAGUUCGGACUGGGUCUGCAACCCGACCCCACGAAGCUGGAUUCGCUAGUAAUCGCGCAUCAGCCAUGGCGCGGUGAAUACGUUCCCGGGCCUUGUACACACCGCCCGU
rnacentral:rRNA from 1 species